AGUAAGUGACUUGAUCUCGGCGCUGGCAGAUGGUGGAGCUAUCAGAGCUGCAGCUGCCUUGGCUGCACACAUCCCUCUCGAGGGAGCUUUCCAGUCAUUUAGCUCCACUGCGGACUCAGAGCCAAAAUUAACAGUCUCCGGUGGGCCCUCAAAGCUCACCACCCACCCAAACACUCUGGCUUGCUGUCAUUCAACAGAUAGCCAGUGGGGAGCGGGGCCCAGACUCACCCUCCCUGCCCACCACCCGCAAGAGGAAACAGCACCACCACCUCUUGUGCCACAGCUGGGCCGGUCCCAGGAAGAAGCCAGCUGGGACUUGGAGUGACAAGCCUUCCCUCUGAUGUGUGUGCAGGGGGUGCCUGGUACAGAGGGACAGCAACCACAGAGCACUGCAGACGCCAAGACAUGGUAAGGGGCCAGGACAGCCGAGCUGCCUCCCAUCUGACACUGGCUUCUCAGGGGCUAGGCCGGGGGGCUCCUCCAGGGGUGGGUGGUGACAGUGUGCCCAGUGGUUAAGUGCCCGAGCCUUGGAGUUGGACACAUUUGGGUUCAAGUGCAGGCUUCAACAGUCAUUCACUGUGUGGUCUGGGGCAAGGUAGCCAACCCCUCUCAGCCUCCGUUUCCUUAUCUGGAAAAUGGAGAUAAUUACCCACAGUAGUACCUACCUCAGGUAAUGAGGAUUUAAUGAGAAUGUUAAUGAAUGUUAAGAGUUUAGCAGAUGCUCGACAAAUACUAAGUACUUAAUUAAUCAUACCUGUCAUUAUUCAGUAGGCCUGCCCCUGCUGCAGGGCAUACAACUUAAAAAUAUACUUAAGAAUAAAGAAAAGCAAGGGUCAA
rnacentral:lncRNA from 1 species